rnacentral:rRNA from 1 species
UACGAACCGAGCGAGCGUUAUUCGGAAUCACUGGGCUUAAAGGGCGCGUAGGCGGGCCGUCAAGUCGAGGGUGAAAUCCCCCAGCUCAACUGGGGAAGUGCCUCCGAUACUGGCGGCCUCGAGGGGGAUAGGGGCAUGCGGAACUUCCGGUGGAGCGGUGAAAUGCGUAGAUAUCGGAAGGAACACCGGUGGCGAAAGCGGCGUGCUGGAUCGCUUCUGACGCUGAGGCGCGAAAGCCAGGGGAGCGAACGGG